ensembl:snoRNA small nucleolar RNA SNORD61
GCCGUGAUGACUGUUUGGUUUUGAUCAGCAAUGAGCUGAAACAAUAAAACCGAUUCCUCUAAGAAGUUCUGAGCUC